rnacentral:sRNA from 1 species
UGUGGCCUGUUACGAAGUCUAUUGUUGUACCUCGUUUUGUAAGUCCCAAGUAUUACACGUAUUUUUAUUAGCAAGACCCUAGAUUUUCACAUGCACUACGAGGAUAUCAGCAUGUCAACAGUAACUGGUAAAGUAAAAUUCUUUAACGAAGCUAAAGGUUUCGGUUUCAUCGAGCAAGAACAAGGCGCAGACGUAUUCGUACAUUUCAGCGCGAUCCAAUCAGACGGUUUCAAAACCUUAGCUGAAGGUCAAACUGUUCAGUUUACUAUCGCUCAAGGCCCUAAAGGUCCACAAGCUGAAAACGUUGUACCUAUGUAAUUAGUUGCUCAGGCAACGUUUACUAGCUAAACGAAUUCCAAAAAGCCGCACUUAGUGCGGCUUUUUUU